rnacentral:rRNA from 1 species
GACGAACGCUGGCGGCGUGCUUAACACAUGCAAGUCGAACGAGAAGAGAUGAGAAGCUUGCUUCUUAUCAAUUCGAGUGGCAAACGGGUGAGUAACGCGUAAGCAACCUGCCCUUCAGAUGGGGACAACAGCUGGAAACGGCUGCUAAUACCGAAUACGUUCUUUUGUCGCAUGGCAGAGGGAAGAAAGGGAGGCUCUUCGGAGCUUUCGCUGAAGGAGGGGCUUGCGUCUGNUUAGCUAGUUGGAGGGGUAACGGGCCCGACCAAGGCGACGAUCAGUAGCCGGUCUGAGAGGAUGAACGGCCAC